UUCUUGUCGGUUCUUGUCGGUAAUUAGGGAGACCGGGUCAACAGAAACCGACAAAAUGUAAAUAAAUACAAGAAAGAUAUUACUAUGUCAGCAACUGCCAUGUAAUGUUGAGGAGUAGCAAAUUCACAAGUUUGAUGUACCUUAAAAAUAUUAAAAUAGAUUUUCCAACAUAAGCGACGUGUUUCAAGACAGCUAGCCCUACUAAAUACCAUGGAAGAGGUAUCUUUAGGAAAACUGCUUGGGCCAAAACCACCAGCAGAGAGAAUUCGACAACGGUGCAACUCCAGAGAUGUGUUCUAUGAAAUUUCAACUACUUGAUUUCACAUGUUGUGUCUGCUAAAUUUGCAUUUUGCGUCCGGCGAAUAGACAUUUUGUGAUACUGGCGAUACUGGUUUCUGCUUCCCAGAACCAAUUUCGCGCAACAGUGUCAAUGCUGUGUUGUUGCUCAUAUACAUUUGUGAAAAUUGACUAUUUUGUGAAUGAAGAAUUGAAAGACUAGAAUUGCUUGAACAGCUUUGAUCAAUGAUUUUCUAGAACAUACUGUUCCAAAAAGCUAUACAGUUUGUUCCAUUUGCUUGUUUUGAUUUUGUGUCAUUUGUUUGCUUUGCUAUGGAUGCCCUAACAGGGUUUUGUAUGCCCAGUAUCCAAACCUUUUGGCUUUUAUAAAUGGAGUCGUUCCCAUAAAAUGCCAAAGAUUAACUAAGACAUUACUCAGUGAGAUAAAU